UGGAGAUAUGCUUCUUUGGACUUUCCUCCUAUUCCUUAUUCAUCUUUCAGGAUGCCAUGCAGAGAUUCACUUGGUGGAGACUGGAGGAGGUGUUGUAAUCCCUGGAGGUUCCCUUCUUCUGACCUGUAAAGCAUCCGGAUUCAACUUUACUGAUUAUACAAUCCACUGGAUCCGACAGUCUCCAGGAAAAGGGCUGGAGUGGGUGGCAGGUGUUAGCAAACCACAAGGAACUAGUCAAUGGUAUAACCCCAAAGUGGAGGGAAGAUUCACCAUCUCCAGGAACAAUUCCCAGACUUCAGCUUAUCUCCAGAUGAACAAUUUGAAGCCUGAAGACUCUGCCUUGUAUUAUUGUGCAAGGCACACAGUGACUCCAUCUGCUUUCCUCCUUGUACAAAUACUCCAGGGGUCCCUUGAGAGGAGAAGCCAAGAGCAGAAAGCGCAACCAGUCAGCCUCUGUCCCUGGAGUGCAUCUGCCAGAAAAUACAACUACUCACCCACACAAAACAACAAAGCAACCAAAGUGGCAGAGAAAGUAAAGAGGAAUGGAAAAUGA